AUUGAACGCUGGCGGCAGGCCUAACACAUGCAAGUCGAGCGGAUGAAGGGAGCUUGCUCCUGGAUUCAGCGGCGGACGGGUGAGUAAUGCCUAGGAAUCUGCCUGGUAGUGGGGGAUAACGUCCGGAAACGGGCGCUAAUACCGCAUACGUCCUGAGGGAGAAAGUGGGGGAUCUUCGGACCUCACGCUAUCAGAUGAGCCUAGGUCGGAUUAGCUAGUUGGUGGGGUAAAGGCCUACCAAGGCGACGAUCCGUAACUGGUCUGAGAGGAUGAUCAGUCACACUGGAACUGAGACACGGUCCAGACUCCUACGGGAGGCAGCAGUGGGGAAUAUUGGACAAAGGGCGAAAGCCUGAUCCAGCCAUGCCGCGUGUGUGAAGAAGGUCUUCGGAUUGUAAAGCACUUUAAGUUGGGAGGAAGUGCAGUAAGUUAAUACCUUGCUGUUUUGACGUUACCAACAGAAUAAGCACCGGCUAACUUCGUG
rnacentral:rRNA from 1 species